UUUUUUUUCUAUCAAUUGUCAAAAGCAUUUUCAACUUAUGGACAUUUCUAGGAAAGUCGUCUCUUAAAUGUAUAAUUACCGAAUUCAAUCCUUAGCUACUGAACGAAAAACUUAAUCAGAACUCAUACAAAUGUACAAAGUCGAUCCAACUUAGUUAAAUUAAUUUACGAUUUCAGUUUAUGGGGAAAAAAAGAAUAGAACAACCGCUCAAAAUUUAAAAAUUGGCUAAUUUGAGUUCAAGUACAUAGAAGUAUAAUAAUAAUUUAUUUCUGUUCAUUA